CCCUGAGCUACCAGGAGACGUUGUUAUUACAGAUGAACAGGUGAUAGAGAAAGAAGAAGAAUCUGUCAUGGGGAAGUUUAUGAAGGACAUUAGAGAUUCAGAGAGAGACAGCUUUGGUGUGUUGGUGAACAGCUUCUACGACCUUGAACCUGCUUAUGCCGAUUUUUUCAAGACCCAUGUGGCGAAAAGGUCUUGGGACAUCGGUCCGCUUUAAAAAAAAAAAAAAGCUAUGUAAAAGGCUAAUAAACAUUAUCAAAGGCUAAUACCAUUAGCUGACAACAUCUGAUUAUCCUCCGCAGAAUAGCUAGGACGUCGACUGUUUCCAGCCAAAUAAAGCUCUAUAAGUGUAUCUUCCACCCUGAUUAAAUUAAAAAGGGUUUCAGAAACCAUAUAUAUUAGUUUUCAUGACAAAGAAAUAAAUAACCUACCAUGAGGAAGGACGUUGAAGAUGUUCAAGUUCAUGGUCAUUUGAGCACCCUGUUGGCUCUUUCGAGCAAAUUAACCGUGUCUAUCAGUUAUCAAUCAUAGAUGUUAUGCAUUGCCAACACUUUACCUAAACUCUUAACACGUAAGUUUACCUAAAAGAGUUUCUGUUUCUCCAGGAUCACUCAACAAAACUUCAGCCUGAGCAUCUUCAGAAGUGACAAUAUGUACAGAUUCGUCAUGUUCCAGGGGAACAUAUUCGCCGUUUUCAUGCUUGUAGUAAAGACCAUCCUUGCUACAAUAGUACCAACCAGCAACUGGGUCAUGAUAAAACCCACUCCUGCAAAUUCGAAAACAGUGUUAGCAUCCAGAAAAGGAAUACACUUUAUCAACUAAACAUCAAUCUCACUGAAGUGUGUCUCCUUCAUUCAUUACUUCUCAUAGUUUACAGCUAAGUAGCAUAUACAAAGCGAGGUCUUUGAUUGUAAAUUAAGCUUCCUCGAGCAACUAGAAUACUUUUUGGCUUAAAUUUUAAACUAAAGCAAAAUUAGGUUUUGGGAAGAGACGUAUGCCUGUGAUGGAUGUAGAGCUGCGUAUCGUUGUCCCAAACGUAGGAGGAGGAGUCUUCCAAUUCUUCUUUAUCGUCGGGCAUGAGUGAUUGAUUGAUUGAUUUUGCUUUGAAUGUCAACGAAAUUAAACAAAAGGGACUUUUGCUGAAAUUAAACUUGGAGACGAUGAACUCGUACCGGAUACAAUUGUUAAAUCGAAGGAACAUGCCUUAACCGGAUGGUUUCGGUUUAGGCCCAGGAAGGUUAAGCUUUUCGCUAAACAAGAUAAGGCCCAAACGUUUUGGGCUUUACUUACAAUAUAUUCUAUUUAUUAAAUUGUGUUGGAGAAGACGACGACUAGAAGAAAAUGACGAAUGCCGUGACGUGAAUUUUUCAACUCCCCUUCCAGAAGUUAUAUUGCAGACUUUUAAUUAGAUAAAGAUAAUUUAUUUGUAUUUUUUAUAUAUCAGAAUUAAUCUUGCAAAAAAAAUCGUUAACUUAAUAAGCCAAAACAUAUUUUUUGAUAAGAGCCUUAUUUCAUUUUUUUUCUCCCUCAUUUCAUCAAAAUAUUUGAUAAAAAAGGUAAUUAUAUUGAUAUUUUAAACAAAAAUUCCAUUGAGUUUUUACCAAGAAAAAAUAUCCCAUUGAGUCAAGGUCAACAUUAGUCAAUGGCCCUAAGAAUAUCAUCAUGUUUCCAUAUCAGCCAAGCGUUAGCUGCCAAAGCUUUACUCUCUUUCCUUGCGUCCUGCUUGGCAGGCUCCAAAACCCAAUUAUUAAUAUAAAUACAAAUUCAUUAUCUCUUUGAUCCACAAACAUUCAAUCUCAAAAUUUCAAGAAAAAAAAAAAAAAAGGAACUGAGAAGUUUCUACUUGGCUCUUACAAAACCCAUUUCUUGUUUUCUCAUCAGCCAAAUCAUGGGAACUUCUGAUGAAGCCGCGGCCUCUAAGCUCCAUAUCUUCUUCUUCCCUUACAUGGCUCAUGGCCACAUGAUACCAACUCUUGACAUGGCCAAGCUCUUUGCCACCAAAGGAGCUAAGUCCACCAUCCUCACCACUCCUCUCAACUCAAAACUCUUCGAGAAACCCAUCAACUCAUUCAACGACGAGAAUCCUGAACUUGAAGACAUCAAACUUCAGAUCCUCAACUUCCCUUGCACAGAGCUGGGCUUACCCGAAGGAUGCGAGAACACUGACUUCAUCUUCUCUAACCAUGACCUAACCAAAGGUAACUUGAAUAUGAAGUUUUUACUAGCAAUGGAAUAUUUCAAAGAGCAGUUAGAAGAGCUUCUCGAGACGGUGAAACCAGACUGUCUCGUCGGCAACAUGUUCUUCCCUUGGGCGACUAAAGUCGCUGAGAAGUUUAACGUGCCGAGACUUGUCUUCCACGGCACAGGCUACUUCUCGCUAUGUGCUUCUCAUUGCUUAAGGCUCCACAAGCCUUACAAGAACGUAGCUUCUAGCUCUGAGCCCUUUGUGAUCCCUGAGCUACCAGGAGACGUUGUUAUUACAGAUGAACAGGUGAUAGAGAAAGAAGAAGAAUCUGUCAUGGGGAAGUUUAUGAAGGACAUUAGAGAUUCAGAGAGAGACAGCUUUGGUGUGUUGGUGAACAGCUUCUACGACCUUGAACCUGCUUAUGCCGAUUUUUUCAAGACCCAUGUGGCGAAAAGGUCUUGGGACAUCGGUCCGCUUUCUUUAGGGAACAGAGAGUUCAAGGAGAAAGCAGAGAGGGGCAAAAAGGCUAGCAUUGAUGAGCAUGAGUGUUUGAAAUGGCUUGACA
rnacentral:lncRNA from 1 species